UGCUUUGGAGGUUUAUGGGGGUCCCUUAAGGAGUUCAAUAUGAUGUGAGUGACAGUGAGGUCCCUUGGCUUCUGCACCCCCCGCAUCCCCACAGCGGGAACAAAGGAUUUCCCGCUUGGCCACUGCUCAACAACGUGCAAAGCAGAAUAUUCCCAAGGAAAGCAGCCAUCACUGCGACUUAGCAUUUGCUGUUCUGGGACAUUUUUACUACACAGAGCAGAGCAGUAAGAAUUCAUGAGGGUCCCCCGUGUUGCCCUCCCUCCUCCUACCCUCGCUUCCCUUCCUGCUAGAUCAUGUCAAAGCAAACCUCAGAAACUGUGUCACGUUCCCCAUCUGUAAACGAUCAGAGCUAUCGUUAACCCACAGUAAUCAUCCCCAGUGCCCUUACUGAUCUGUGGUCAUGGGACCUUGUGUCUCCUGAUUGUUUUACUCGUUUGGCUUAGAAUCCAGAUCCAGAUAACACUGGGCGGCCCUGUGGUUGGCUGUGGUCAGGGCUGCCCCCUCAGGCCACUAGCCACAUCCAGGAGGCCGGGCCAGUGGCUCGGGAGCUCCAGAUCUGACACAGCCACCACCCUCUUUCCCCGGGACCCUGCAGGGAGUUUUCAGAUGCCAAGCUAAACUGAUGCAGAGGGAGGCCCUGUCCGAGUCACUCAGCUGCAGAACUGUCCUGAAGCUCCUCAGAGCAGCCCUGGAAAUCGGACCCCGGGCCUCACCAGGCUGAGCCUGCUCCCCAGCCUUCCAGGCACUCACCAGUUCUGGGAGGCCCCAUCCCUGCUGCCACUGACUGAUGUCCCGGGCAGCUGCUGCUCUUGCCCUGGCGCCCCGCACCGGUCAGGGGAUUCGAUUGUGUCGGUUUGGAUGACCACUACAGUUGUGCGGAGUUCCCGGUGGUGGUGACAGCCCGGCAUGUGCAGUGCAGGAUCUCAGUGCUGCAGCUCAGGCCUGGACUUCACACCCCAUGAUGGCUGCCAUGGGGUCCAGGCAACUCAGACCUUUGCAGAGGGCAAAGCCCAGUGUGGCAGGCAUGCCUGUUACCCAGCACUCUGGGAGGAUGCAAAAACCACAUCUCGACUUGAACAGAGAGAAUUCGCGGACAGGAUUAACUAAGUACAAAGCCAUCAGCCAGGCACUGGACAGUAAAGUGAGCUGAUUUAGUGUGUUCGCACUGCUCUAACAAAAAACCAUAACCAGGCAGCUCAGAGCCACAGAAAUUGCUUCUCACGGUUUCUGAGGCCAGACAGGGUCAGGCAGGGCAAUGCUGGCCCCAAAUGUGUUUUCCUGCUAUGUCCCUGCUGUAAGGGCACUGUUACCUUAUACCUAGCUGUACCCCCAAAGCCUCAACCCCAUCGGUGGGACUUUACCAAGGUGGCUUGAUCUAAGGUAUGUGAAUGUGGAUUAAGGGUUCCGGCGCUGAAUCGUCCACCACUGGGAUUAGCGUGGUUCUGGGUGUGGCUGAAUGGAUUUAGGAAGGCCAGCCUCUGUCCCUGGGUAUAGCUGGCACCCUCUAAGUGCUUGUUUCCUGGAUGGGAUAGAAGGGAAAAGCAGGUUUAUAGCUGCUGCUGCUGCUGCUGCUGCUGCUUCUCUGCCUCCUGCCUGCCCUGCCAUGGACCAUUUCUCCUCUGCGAUGCCCCUCUGCCCUGCCACCUGCCUUGGACCCAGCCAGCUAUGUACUGAAAACUCCACACACUGUGAGCCAAUAUAACCUUUGCUCCUUUGA